GUUUUUAAUGUCAGUCAGCGUUUUAGGAUGUAAUAUAACAUACUGUACAAGUAGGAAGUUUAAUGUCUGUGCUUUCUAUUUGAUUGGUCACUGUUCAUUUCCAGUGGUGCUGAAAUUCUGCUUCAGUCAUAAAAACUUUAAACUGCUAUUGUCUAUUGUAAACUGCGUGUAAUCGGUUUCAGGUUCUUUUAGAGUGACUCCCAAAUUAGUGGAGACACAGCCUGAGUUGAAUAUUAAUAAUUUUAUAUUAAGUCUACUUCGAAAACUGGGCUGGUCAGAUUCAAGGAAUCGACUCUUUUGGAGUCGACUCCUCAUCAGUACUGCGCAAGUGCGCAUGUGCUUACAAAGAUCAUCACAUCUAUUCGCACGUGGAAGUGAUCGCCGCGGGAAAACCGAGUUCCUCCAUGGUUGUGUGAGGAAAGACAUCAUCCUCGCUGUCCACCAGCAGCACUGGAGCACUGGAACGUCUGUUAGCUGCAAGGGACUGGACCACUGAAGUCAGAUGAUUGAUCUUCAUGUCCAGUUCGUUAAGUGCCUCCAGAAUUGUCCUCUCAACAGCUGCAACACAACUUCUGUCCUGAUGUUUGGCUGUGGUCCCCCCAUCAUCCACUCUUCAGCAACCGGUCUAUUUAUGGAGACCACCAUGAUCUAAUCUAUACAGAUCUAGUUGUCUCUUCUCCCACAAACUCCUCUUUCAGUUAUGUUUUUUCUUUGUUGUUGUUUGUUGUUGUU
ensembl:lncRNA